UCAGCUCGUGUCGUGAGAUGUUGGUUAGUCCGCAACGAGCGCAACCCCUAUACCUCAGUUGCCAUCAUUAAGUUGGGCACUCUGUGGAGACUGCCGGUGUCAAACCGGAGGAAGGUGGGGAUGACGUCAAGUCCUCAUGGCCCUUAUGACCAGGGCUACACACGUGCUACAAUGGCCGGUACAAAGAGUUGCGAUACAGCGAUGUGGAGCUAAUCUCAUAAAGCCGGUCUCAGUUCGGAUUGGAGUCUGCAACUCGACUCCAUGAAGUUGGAAUCGCUAGUAAUCGCGGAUCAGCACGCCGCGGUGAAUACGUUCCCGGGCCUU
rnacentral:rRNA from 1 species